rnacentral:rRNA from 1 species
CAGUCGCCGCGGGAAUACGGAGGAUCCAAGCGUUAUCCGGAAUCAUUGGGUUUAAAGGGUCCGUAGGCGGUCUUGUAAGUCAGUGGUGAAAGCCCAUCGCUCAACGGUGGAACGGCCAUUGAUACUGCAGGACUUGAAUUAUUGGGAAGUAACUAGAAUAUGUAGUGUAGCGGUGAAAUGCUUAGAGAUUACAUGGAAUACCAAUUGCGAAGGCAGGUUACUACCAAUUGAUUGACGCUGAUGGACGAAAGCGUGGGUAGCGAACAGGAUUAGAUACCCCUGUAGUCCAUGUCUCUUAUAC